GAUGAACGCUAGCGGGAGGCUUAACACAUGCAAGUCGAGGGGCAGCAUGGUGUAGCAAUACACUGAUGGCGACCGGCGCACGGGUGAGUAACGCGUAUGCAACCUACCCUGUACAGGGGGAUAGCCCGGAGAAAUUCGGAUUAAUACCCCAUAAAGAUAUCCAAAGGCAUCUUUAGAUAUUUAAAGCUUCGGCGGUACGGGAUGGGCAUGCGUAACAUUAGCUAGUUGGUAGGGUAACGGCCUACCAAGGCUACGAUGUUUAGGGGUCCUGAGAGGGUGAUCCCCCACACUGGUACUGAGACACGGACCAGACACCUACGGGUGGCUG
rnacentral:rRNA from 1 species